rnacentral:rRNA from 1 species
UACGUAGGGGGCAAGCGUUGUCCGGAUUUAUUGGGCGUAAAGAGCGUGUAGGCGGCCGGACAAGUCCGUUGUGAAAACUAGAGGCUUAACCUCUAGACGUCGAUGGAAACUGUUUGGCUAGAGUCCGGAAGAGGAGAAUGGAAUUCCUGGUGUAGCGGUGAAAUGCGCAGAUAUCAGGAAGAACACCCGUGGCUAAGGCGGUUCUCUAGUACGGUACUGACGCUGAGACGCGAAAGCGUGGGGAGCGAACAGG